rfam:Ectocarpus siliculosus strain Ec 32, whole genome shotgun sequence assembly, chromosome LG12
ACGCGUGUGGUGUAGUGGUAACAUAAGUGCCUUCCAAGCACUUGCCCGGAGUUCGAUUCUCCGUACGCGUA